CCCACCUCCCCUCCCAUCCAAAAACCCACCCCAGACCGCCCCACCCCCACCUCUCUCUCUCGCGUCUGGCGACGAACGCUGAGAUCUGAAAAUCUUUGCUUUCCUUUCUCUUCAACUUUCUACUAAGAGGUCAUUCUUCUUUCUUCCUUAAUCUUCUUGCAUUCCUCCAAAAUUUGACUUCAGUUUCUCUGAUUCGCUCUGAUUCAGUCGCAAUUUUGGUUCUCCAAUCUCAUCGCGCAUUUCCGAAUAUUUCAGAUUCGUCAAGGAUUUCAUGAAGGUCUUCGAUCAGACGGUCCGAGAAAUAAAGAGGGAGGUGAAUCUGAAGGUUUUGAAGGUUCCGGAGAUGGGAAGAGGAGUUGGUGCGGUUAGUGCAGAGCUCUGCUGCGAACAUGAGUGAAGAUUUUGGUCUCGGGGCAUCUCGUCACUCCAGUGCCAUGAGCGGCAGGAGAGAAGAUCUGGCAGCUUCUUGUCGCUUGACUGACGUUUGAUGAUGAUGGCGAAGAGAGGACGAUGAUUUUCAUUUUGAUCAAUAUCAUGUAAGCAUAUAAAAGAGAGACAGAUUGAGUCAUUUCCUUUAAAUAUUUAUCUCUGUCUGCUAUGCCUGCCCAAUAUUUUUAAAUAGUUCGAAUUCAGAAUUAAUCUCAUGAAUUCUGGGCCCUAAAGUUCUCCAAGGCACUCUAGCUUGUCCCCUGUUGGAGAAGCAGAUUUAAGAAAAAAAGAGUUACUGGAAAA